UACGGGGGGGGCAAGCGUUGUUCGGAAUUACUGGGCGUAAAGGGCUCGUAGGUGGUCAACUAAGUCAUACGUGAAAUCCCUCGGCUUAACCGGGGAACUGCGCCUGAUACUGGUUGACUUGAGUUUGGGAGAGGGACGCGGAAUUCCAGGUGUAGCGGUGAAAUGCGUAGAUAUCUGGAGGAAUACCGGUGGCGAAGGCGGCAUCCUGGACCGACAUUGACGCUGAGGAGCGAAAGCUAGGGGAGCAAACGGG
rnacentral:rRNA from 1 species